rnacentral:rRNA from 1 species
UAAGGAAUAUUGGUCAAUGGACGCAAGUCUGAACCAGCCAUGCCGCGUGGAGGAUGAAGGUCCUCUGGAUUGUAAACUUCUUUUAUCUGGGACGAAACACUCCUAUUCUUAGGGGCCUGACGGUACCAGAUGAAUAAGCACCGGCUAACUCCGUGCCAGCAGCCGCGGUAAUACGGAGGGUGCAAGCGUUAUCCGGAUUCACUGGGUUUAAAGGGUGCGUAGGUGGGUGUAUAAGUCAGUGGUGAAAUCCCCGAGCUUAACUUGGGAACUGCCGUUGAUACUAUACAUCUUGAAUAUCGUAGAGGUAAGCGGAAUAUGUCAUGUAGCGGUGAAAUGCUUAGAGAUGACAUAGAACACCAAUUGCGAAGGCAGCUUGCUAUGCGAUUAUUGACACUGAGGCACGAAAGCGUGGGUAGCAAACAGG